ACACUUUAACUAUCUCUUGGAUUACGUCUCAUAUUAGGAGGACGGCGUCGAUCUGGUUACUAUCAUCAAGUGUACAUGUUUCUAUCGCCGUGGGAAGUCUCAUGACCACCUUUCAGAUUACAUCAUGCCUACCACAUUUGAGUUAAAACAACAAAUAGACGACCACAAGUAAAAAUGCUUAACAAACCAAAUUAGUCUAUUACUUAAGAGGUUAUAGCGAAUAGUGAAUAAUAAUUUUCUACGUUGCAGAUUGUUAAUAGAUGCUACUUCCCCUGUAAUGCUAUCAACUCUAGCAAACGGUAAAGUUGUAAGGAGCCUAGAAGGUUUACCUUCGGAAGGACCUGUUCUGUACGUUGGCUACCACAUGUUACUGGGAUUUGAGCUAGCUCCUAUGGUAUCACAGCUCUUGAAAGAGAGAAACAUUCACUUGCGCGGUUUGGCACAUCCCAUG
rnacentral:lncRNA from 1 species